AAGUCGUAACAAGGUUUCCGUAGGUGAACCUGCGGAAGGAUCAUUACCAAAUCAAACCUGAAUAAGAGGAUAUGCGGAAAUACGUUUGACUCGAGAAGAGAGCAAUCUCUGAUUGAUAAAACGCCGCAUUCCACUUUAUCUCAAACCCCACUGUGUGAAUCGUUCAAAAAUGGUCAUUGUCGAGCUGCGAAAGCAAACCGGCAAAUGUCCAUUUUAUAAACGCCAACCAACAUUAUAUACCUUUAGGUCUUAAAAUAUUGUAAAUAACCAAAACAACUUUUAACAACGGAUCUCUAGGCUCUC
rnacentral:misc_RNA from 1 species